rnacentral:sRNA from 1 species
UCGUAAAAUUUUCGUGCUUGGGCUACUG